GGGGAUGUAGCUCAGUGGUAGAGUGCAUGCUUUGCAUGUAUGAUGCCCCCGGUUCAAUCCCCGGCAUCUCCA
rnacentral:tRNA from 1 species